GAGGGAAGCCAUGGACCUGCAGAUCCAGGUAAUGGUUCCAGGUCUCUGCUGUGCUCUAACUGUUGUGCCUUUUUCUUGCAGAAUUCCAUGCUGGCCGCCGACUCGUGGAGUAGCUGCUACCCAGGCUCUUUCCCAACCUCAUCUUUCCCAAGUGAAAACCACGCUGCCGGGAACAGCCCAAUCCUGCAAGGACAUGCCUGUGUCUCACACAAACCUGGACUUGCUGCCUUUGCUGAAGUUACUUCUGGAAAUGAAGCCCAUUGUAGUAAUGAUUUAAUAGGAAAUGAUUUAGCCAAAGUUACUCUUUUAGCUUCCUGGUCUUCAUACCCCAGGAGGUGUAAAAAUAAUGUAAAAAUCACCUUUCAGGUGAGAUCUUCCAUAUCUGC
rnacentral:lncRNA from 1 species